AGGGUUUGAUCAUGGCUCAGAUUGAACGCUGGCGGUAUGCUUAACACAUGCAAGUCGAACGGAAACGAUGGUAGCUUGCUACCAGGCGUCGAGUGGCGGACGGGUGAGUAACGCGUAGGAAUCUACCUGAUAGUGGGGGAUAGCCCAGAGAAAUCUGGAUUAAUACCGCAUAAUCUCUAUGGAGUAAAGUGGGGGAUCUUCGGACCUCACGCUAUCAGAUGAGCCUGCGUAAGAUUAGCUAGUUGGUGAGGUAAAAGCUCACCAAGGCGACGAUCUUUAGCUGGUCUGAGAGGAUGAUCAGCCACACUGGGACUGAGACACGGCCCAGACUCCUACGGGAGGCAGCAGUGGGGAAUAUUGGACAAUGGGCGCAAGCCUGAUCCAGCAAUACCGCGUGUGUGAAGAAGGCCUGAGGGUUGUAAAGCACUUUCAAUUGUGAAAAAAAGCUUAGUGUUAAUAGCACUAAGCCUUGACGU
rnacentral:rRNA from 1 species